GACGAACGCUGGCGGCGUGCUUAACACAUGCAAGUUGAACGGAAAGGCCCUGCUUUUGUGGGGUGCUCGAGUGGCGAACGGGUGAGUAACACGUGAGUAACCUGCCCUUGACUUUGGGAUAACUUCAGGAAACUGGGGCUAAUACCGGAUAGGAGCUCCUGCUGCAUGGUGGGGGUUGGAAAGUUUCGGCGGUUGGGGAUGGACUCGCGGCUUAUCAGCUUGUUGGUGGGGUAGUGGCUUACCAAGGCUUUGACGGGUAGCCGGCCUGAGAGGGUGACUGGCCACAUUGGGACUGAGAUACGGCCCAGACUCCUACGGGAGGCAGCAGUGGGGAAUAUUGCACAAUGGGCGGAAGCCUGAUGCAGCAACGCCGCGUGCGGGAUGACGGCCUUCGGGUUGUAAACCGCUUUCGCCUGUGACGAAGCGUGAGUGACGGUAAUGGGUAAAGAAGCACCGGCUAACUACGUG
rnacentral:rRNA from 1 species